rnacentral:lncRNA from 1 species
GGUAGCCAUGUAAGGAUUGCCUUGUCUACUAGAAGAUAUUAAGAUGAUAAUGACAAUGCCAAGAUAAUCUGAGAAGAGAAUGAUUACAAUCAGCAAAGGGCUCAGAAAGGAAGCAUUUCCUAGGGAAGGGAGAGAGCAAGUGAGGCAGAUCAGAAUCGAACCAGUCGAGGGGGGCAGUUGAUGGACGAGAUGAAUUUGGGAUAUCUUUCAGAGGAAGGCACUUCAAAUUCUUGUUAUUUAUUUCACUAUGGUGCUCUCUGUGAUUGGAACAGCUUGAUAUAGUUUGGCUCUGUGUCCUCACCCAAAUUUCAUCUUGAAUUGUACUCCCAUAAUUCCCACGUGUUGUGGGAGGGACCCGGUGGGAGAGAAUUGGAUCACGGGGGCAGGUUUCCCCCAUACUGUUCUCGUGGUGGUGAAUAAGUCUCACGAGAUCUGACGCUUUUAUCAGGGGUUUCCGCUUUUGCGUCUUCUUUCUCUCUUCGCCUGCUGCCGUCCAUGUAAGAUGGGACUUGCUCCUCCUUGCCUUCCACCAUGAUUGUGAGGCUUCCUCAGCCACGUGGAACUAUGCCCUGACCUUCCGGGAAACCCUCGGUGAGAGGCCCACAGCCUCGCUUCUAGGGUCACCACUGCUUCUUCCAGUCUAGCCAAACAGCUCCUAGUACAGCUCAGAGCACCCUGCAAGGAGGGCACGUGUUAAAUCGAGGAGCACACAUGCUCCACGAGGAAUUCUUUGCUUUGAGGCCAUGCACAGAGGUGGGUUCACUAUGAAGCUUGUGAAAUAAGCUUCAGGGCCCGCAUUUGCAUGGGCCACAGAGAGUCUGGGAGCUGCAGAAGGUUCAAGGGAAGAGGAGCCAUCACAAGCAGAAUAUUCUAGAAGGCAUUUCUGGCAAAUGGCCCAAAGAGGCCUCAGGAGAAAAGAACUUGAGUCUUCAAGGAUGCAAUGAGAAGGCACCAUCUGUGAGGAACAGGCCUCCGACAGACACCGAAUUUGCUGGCACUUUGAUCUUGGACUUCCCAGCCUCCAAAAUUAUCCAUAAUGGAUUCCUGGGACAUUUUCAGAUCUCCUUCCAGCUUCCUCUUCGCCCUUUCCAAGUCCGCCCGCAGUUUCUUCUCCUGCUCUAAGGAACCCUCAAGCUGAGAAGACACACAGAUGGAGUCUCGCUGCGAUGCCCAGGCUGGAGUGCAAUGGUGCAAUCUUGGCUCACUGCAACCUUCGUUUCCCAGGUUUAAGCAAUUCUCCUGCCUCAGCCUCCCAAGUAUCUGGGACUACAGGCGAGCGUCACCAUGCCUGGCUAAUUUUUGUAUUUUUAGUAGAGAUGUUUAGUAGAGAGUUUCACCAUAUUGGCCAGGCUGGUCUUGAACUCCUGACCUCAAGGGAUCCGCCCACCUUGGCCUCUCAAAGUGCUGGGAUUACAGGCGUGAGCCACCGUGCCUGGCAAUGUUUGUAGUUUCUUUCAUGAAUUUACCUCCUUUUAUUCUUUAAUCCCUGCUUAUCUCUAAAGAGUAAGUAACUGAAAGUAAUAAAACGGAAUUUUCUCAACAAUAUUUUAUAAGUUGAUUUCUUUUUCUUUCCUACAGGAAACAACCCAAUUUGCCAUCUUAAUUUGGAGUCUACUUUUUCUGAAUGACUCAGUUUUCUCUGAUACUUAAUCAAGAUGCAGCCUUGGGGGAAAAUGUCAUGUCCCAGUCUCCCCCAUGUUCCUUUCCCUUCAUCCCACUUUGUCCCCGGGGUCUAGCAUGACUGUGUGUUUGGAUUGGGGAAGUGAAGGCAGGAAAGUCGCUUCCCCAAAUCCGCAUCCACACAGGGUCUUAUGUUAGAGUUGAUGUUAUCUCUAGGCGAGGUUAUGCAAUGUAGUUACAGAGACAUUGUGAUUAGAUUCAAAGAAAAUGAUUUUCAUCAUUGAAGUUUACGCAUGUGCCCAUUUCCUAUUUAUUACAUUCCCUGGCCCAGAGGACAUUAGGCUUUCAUUUUUAAAAAAUGAUCUCAUUAUCUAAUGAAUAAUUAUAUUUCAUAUAUUUUAUUAAUUUAUUAAAUGUAUGCAUUUAAAAUGGCAUAUAAUGUUAAAACUCUAUGUUGGCUACUAUUUAAAAGUAUAUUUACUGGUAAUCU